UUUUUUUUUUUUGACUAUCAAUGGGCAUUGAUAGUUUUUUUUUAACUUUUGAAACUAUCGAUGGUGCGACUAUCGAUAGUUUGACAUCUCGCUCAUUACUAUGCAUUGUGAAAUAACGCCAUCGAGUCAGUUUGCUUUUUUCGUGUUAUUAAAAAUAAAUAUUGUGGUCAAAUUAGUAUAAGUUGCAAUAAAGUACUAAGCUGUAGAUUUACAUAAGUGACGGUUCCUUCCAAAAUGGAAAUCGGGGACAGCAAUUCAUCAGAUGCGCCAGCGAACAAAAAACAAAAAGUUUUGGAUGUUUGGAAGCAUUUCCAACUAAAUGCUGACAAAAAAUAUGCAAAAUGCAUUAAGUGCCAAAAAUUAUAUAAAACUAGUGGAAAUACAUCCAACUUAAUGGACCACCUUAAGCGUGCUCAUCCUCUGCACGCCGAGCAGGCGAAGCCCGGCGGCACAUUGAAGAAUUUUUUUUAAAAAAGAUGACAUCUACGGCAAUAAUUCGACGCGGAAAGCAGACAUUGAUUUGGCGUUGGCAAGAAUGGUUGCUAUAGAUGUACAACCAUUUCGUAUUGUCGAAGAUCAAGGAUUUAGAGAGCUCAUUCGGUGUCUUGAUCCUCGAUAUGAACUACCAUCUCGAAAUACCAUUCUGAAUGUUUAUAUACAAAAGCUUUAUGAAAAUGGUAAAACUAAAUUACAGGCCAUUCUUAAUGAAAUUGAAAGCUGUGCUAUAACCACUGAUUGUUGGUCAUCGAAGGCAAAUGAAAGCUAUUUGACCGUUACGUGUCAUUUCAAUCAAAAUUGAAAACUUUCGUUGGAUCGGAAGCACAGUUGUACUUAUGCGACAAAAUUAAACAGAGGCUGUUUCCAUAUGAAUCCAGAAGUGCUACUAGAUUAGCCACCUUGCUGGAUCCGAGAUUUAAAAAAGAAGGGUUUUAGUCAGGUCAAAAUGCGGCCCAAGCGUCUAUGUUGCUGGAAAACGAAUUGGUUGAAAUCAACAGAAUUGCAGCAUCGUCAUCGAAUGACAACAGGGAGGAACCGUCGGCAUCAAAAAGCGUUAAAAUUCCACAAAUUUAUGAGUUUUUGACAGAGAAACUAUCCAGCAAAGUCAAAUCCAACAGAGCGGAUGCUAUCAUCACACUACGCGAAUACACUGAAAAACCCAAUGAGCCGCUAGAUGUAGACCCAUUGGAAUACUGGAAAGUAGCAAUGACAUUUUGUGUAACGCUUAUAUAAACAAACAUUUAUCUCAAUUUCAGACUAGAUCGACUGAAAUGAAGUCAAUGCAAAUCAUGGCAUGCAAAUAUUUAUGCAUUCCGGCAACUUCAACGGAGUCCGAGCGUAUGUUCAGCAAAGCUGGUGAAUUAGUCUCAGACAGACGAACAAGACUGAAGGAAAAAAAUGUAGAUAUGUUGUUAUUUAUCAACAAAAAUCACAAAAUGUGCAAAUAUUGAUCUCUUUAAAACCACUGAGUGGCUCUUUGAUCUCCGUUUUAACGUAAACUUAAGCUUUCAACUUAUGUUGUAAAUUAAUUUAUUAAUGUUUUUUUAUUAUAAAAAUAAAUAUGAGUUAUUUUGUUCUUGGAAA